AAUCUAUGCAUCAAACAUUUUUGAAGUAAUUCUUUAAAUCAUUCCCAAGCUUCAUAUAAUGUUUCAUCCUUCAAUUUUCAAAAAGACGUGAUGUCAUUUCUAAGCUU
rfam:Gossypium arboreum cultivar AKA8401 contig_18414_1, whole genome shotgun sequence.